UUGCUGUUAAACACCUCCACCCCCACCAUCGGCAACUGAAGGGCCUUGGCAUUUUCUACAUCCAUUCCUUGUCCCCUGCAGGGAGCAGCCUCUCAGUCAGUCUGCUCCUAGUGAGCCCGAGGAGAGUGGCCACCCUGCCCCACGAAGCAGGGCCCCAUCCCGCAGAGAAACGCUGCCCUUGCUGCCCUUGCUGCCGGCAGGGCAGAUCCUGUCCCUCCCCCAUCCACCGAGUUCCUCCUCUUCCCAUGCCGCGGUGAAAAAGGACUCCAGAGAAGAGAACAGCAAAGGAGAAAACACGCCUUUCUCCACAGUCGGGCAUGGAAUAAACACUGUCGCGUAUAAACUAAAGGGGAGUCUAUACGGCUGAUGGCGGCUGAUGGCGCGCUUUCCCUGAAGAGGCAGAGGGGAGCCUCACACUGCCUCUUUCUUCACCACAGGCCUCCACUGAGCUCCUUAGUCUUUCUUGUCCUCGGGUCCUGUUGUCCCGACUCACAAUCCUGUUGAUCUUACAUUUGAUCGUUACAUGUUUUUGUGAACCGUUGCAAAUCCUUUCUGGAGCAAGGUGGGACUUGCAUAACUAGACACACAGGCGAUUCUUGUUAACACAUGCAUGCCUUUAGGCCUGCGGGCCGGAGGUUGCCUGGGUUCAACAGUCGGCUUUGCUUUUGCCACUGUGUGAAUCAGAGGUGAAUGCGCGCUCUAGGUUCCUGAUCUGUAAAUGCCCUGGGGCAUAGAGGUGACAGUUUGGGGAGGUAGCCCCUACCCCAGCACAGUGAGGCCUCUGUGAAUGCUCCCCUCGGAAUCUAUGGUGGAUUCCUGUCUGCAGUGGAAUGAGGCAGGACCUCCAGAAGGUGGCAGACAGAUGACAGUUAUUCUCACAUCCUUGAUGGGUCGUGGACUAGUUGGACAGAGGAAAACAUCAGGUUCCAGAGAGAACGACCACAGGAAAUCAGGGGAAAGUGCAUCAGGAGUAUUGAUCCACAGAGGCCUGGUCACUGCCUGUGGACCAGCUACCAACCUUCCUGUCAUAAGGAAGCCUACAUAGACAGUGGCUAGGGUAUUACUAACACCAAUUGCCAGGUGGGGUACAAUAGACCUCCUAAUAACUGCAGCCUGAAGACUCUCGGAUAUCCAGUGAGGCUCUGGGUAUAGGAGAAGGGUGAGAAUAAGCUACUCUCACUUCACACAGAACCCCAACAUCUAUGAUAUUUGAGUGUGCUGGAAUACAUUGCCAUGCAGCAGUUGAUAACGAAUGCAAGAAUGACCCACACCUCUUCCUGGCGGAAAGACACAAGGCACAGGAGAUUAAGGAUAUCAUAGGAUCCAAAAUAACAGUUGCUCAAUAGAAAAUGUACGAUCUUUAUGGCGUGGGGCGUUUUAUAGAAAUGAUUUGGUUGCAUCUUUGAGCUAGGUACUCCCAGGAGUGGAUCUAGGUAUAUACCAAAUGAAUGAUAUGAGCAGUCAUCCAUUAUGACUAAUGAAUGAUUAGGCAUUAAAAAUGCCUAUCAUAUUCUGAACAUAUUAAUAAAGUACAACAGCAAAUUGUA